UACGUAGGGUGCGAGCGUUGUCCGGAAUUAUUGGGCGUAAAGGGCUCGUAGGCGGUCUGUCACGUCGGGAGUGAAAACUCAGGGCUUAACCCUGAGCCUGCUUCCGAUACGGGCAGACUAGAGGUAUGCAGGGGGAGAACGGAAUUCCUGGUGUAGCGGUGAAAUGCGCAGAUAUCAGGAGGAACACCGGUGGCGAAGGCGGGUCUCUGGGCCGUAACUGACGCUGAGGAGCGAAAGCGUGGGGAGCAAACAGG
rnacentral:rRNA from 1 species